AUUGAACGCUGGCGGCAUGCUUUACACAUGCAAGUCGAACGGUAACAGGCCUUCGGGUGCUGACGAGUGGCGAACGGGUGAGUAAUGCAUCGGAACAUACCCAGUCGUGGGGGAUAACGUAGCGAAAGUUACGCUAAUACCGCAUACGUCCUGAGGGAGAAAGCGGGGGAUCGCAAGACCUCGCGCGAUUGGAGUGGCCGAUGUCAGAUUAGCUAGUUGGUGGGGUAAAGCCCACCAAGGCGACGAUCUGUAGCGGGUCUGAGAGGAUGAUCCGCCACACUGGGACUGAGACACGGCCCAGACUCCUACGGGAGGCAGCAGUGGGGAAUUUUGGACAAUGGGGGAAACCCUGAUCCAGCCAUGCCGCGUGCGGGAAGAAGGCCUCGG
rnacentral:rRNA from 1 species